AGAGUUUGAUCCUGGCUCAGAUUGAACGCUGGCGGCAGGCCUAACACAUGCAAGUCGAGCGGAUGAGGGUAGCUUGCUACCUGAUUCAGCGGCGGACGGGUGAGUAAUGCCUAGGAAUCUGCCCGAUAGUGGGGGACAACGUUUCGAAAGGAACGCUAAUACCGCAUACGUCCUACGGGAGAAAGCAGGGGACCUUCGGGCCUUGCGCUAUCGGAUGAGCCUAGGUCGGAUUAGCUAGUUGGUGGGGUAAAGGCUCACCAAGGCGACGAUCCGUAACUGGUCUGAGAGGAUGAUCAGUCACACUGGAACUGAGACACGGUCCAGACUCCUACGGGAGGCAGCAGUGGGGAAUUUUGCGCAAUGGGGGAAACCCUGACGCAGCAACGCCGCGUGAGUGAUGAAGGCUUUCGGGUCGUAAAGCUCUGUCGGAGGGGAAGAAAUGGAAACGGUUAAUACCCGUUUUCUUGACGGUACCCUCAAAGGAAGCACCGGCUAACUCCGUGCCAGCAGCCGCGGUAA
rnacentral:rRNA from 1 species